AGCACACCCACGGUCAAAUUGGAGCAAAAGACUGGCCAAUUGGCUGAAAAAUGCCGGCAAAGUCCGGCGCUGCCACCGCAGAGAAUUUCACAAAACGACUCCGAUGAGGCCCUUUUCGAUUCUCCUUCUGUGUAAUUUUUCCACCGUUGUGAUCACCGUAUCCUUCUCUACUGGUUGACCAGAGCAAAACACCCAACCACAACGUGAGCCGAAGGAGGCGCCGCACCAGAGAGCCCCGCCGCCGGUGAGUUUCAGUUUUUUAUAUUUUUUUGGCCAACCGAGGUCUUUUAACGUAUUUUCUCGCAGGUAUCGAUGUAGAAUCGGCCGAAAAUAGCCAACCCGAGGCGGACCACCGCCGGAGCACGACGGAAUUCCACAAUUGGCCAAGUGGGCCCCGGGACUGAUUUUGGAUUUGUUUGAGACAUUUGUAGGUACUAUUAGCGUGUUUCAAUUCCCGAAGAAAAAUUUAGAGAAGUAGGGAAUCACCCGUAGGCGCAGUCGAACAGCUUAGCUUUUCGAACAUCAAAUCGAGUAAGGAUCCCUUACCCU
rnacentral:lncRNA from 1 species